UACGAAGGGGGCUAGCGUUGCUCGGAAUUACUGGGCGUAAAGCGCACGUAGGCGGCUCUUUAAGUCGGGGGUGAAAUCCUGGAGCUCAACUCCAGAACUGCCUUCGAUACUGUAGAGCUUGAGUUCGGGAGAGGUGAGUGGAACUGCGAGUGUAGAGGUGAAAUUCGUAGAUAUUCGCAAGAACACCAGUGGCGAAGGCGGCUCACUGGCCCGAUACUGACGCUGAGGCACGAAAGCGUGGGGGAGCAAACAGG
rnacentral:rRNA from 1 species